GGGGGGCUCAGGGGUAGAGCGCAUGCCUUGCAUGCACAAGGCCCUGGGUUCAAUCCCCAGCACCUCCA
rnacentral:tRNA from 1 species